rnacentral:piRNA from 1 species
CAGCGAUCAUGCUGGACAGCGGAAAGAA